UACGGAGGGGGCUAGCGUUGUCCGGAUUUACUGGGCGUAAAGAGCGCGCAGGCGGUCGUUCAAGUCGCGUGUGAAAGCCCCCGGCUCAACUGGGGAGGGUCACGCGAUACUGAUCGACUGGAAGGCAGGAGAGGGUAGUGGAAUUCCCGGUGUAGUGGUGAAAUGCGUAGAUAUCGGGAGGAACACCAGUGGCGAAGGCGACUACCUGGCCUGUUCUUGACGCUGAGGCGCGAAAGCUAGGGGAGCAAACGGG
rnacentral:rRNA from 1 species